GCUUCUACGCCACCUACUGCAAACUGUGCUGACAAGCUCAUGCAAUGCUCAGAGCACUCCCAUUCGAUCAUUAUUCUGGAACUGAAUAACAGCGCUUUAAGAAGAAAUCUCUGCACAAAGCCAAAGAAGAGAAAGGGGAGAAAGGCAUUCCUGAGAAUGGAACACCAAACAAACAGGCAUGAAACGGAGGACGACAAAAAAGGCAACGGCUCCGAAAGCACCGACCAAGGCAAGAACUGUAAAAUGUCUCCAAUUACUCUCAAUGUUGGUGGAUAUUUGUAUGUUACGCAAAAGCAAACACUUUGCAAGUACCCAGACUCUUAUUUGGAAAGAGUUGUAAAUGGGAAAAUUCUAUGUCCGUCUGACGCAGAGGGCCAUUAUUUCAUAGACAGGGAUGGUCUGCUCUUUCGGCACGUUCUGAACUUCUUACGGAAUGGAGAACUGCUUCUACCAGAGGGAUUUAAAGAAAAUCAACUUCUGGCACAAGAGGCUGGAUUCUUUCAGCUCAAAGUAUUGGCUGAUGCAGUGAAAUCAAGGUGGGAGAAGGAGCAGCUCGCAUCCAGAGAGACUACCUUCCUAGAAAUAACUGACAGCCACGACCGUUCACAGGGCCUUCGGAUUUUUUGCAAUGCUCCCGAUUUCAUAGCAAAAAUAAAAUCUCGCAUUGUUUUGGUGUCCAAAAGCAGGCUGGAUGGCUUCCCAGAAGAGUUUUCCAUCUCUUCCAACAUUAUUCAGUUUAAAUACUUCAUAAAGUCAGAAAAUGGAACUCGGCUUGUUUUGAAGGAAGAUAAUACUUUCGUUUGCACCCUGGAAACUCUUAAAUUUGAAGCUAUUAUGAUGGCAUUGAAGUGUGGAUUUAGGUUGCUGACCAGUCUGGAUUGUACCAAAGGGUCAAUUGUUCACAGUGAUGCACUUCAUUUUAUCAAGUAAUUACUUCUCUCAAUAGACAAAAGGCCAUAAGCAUGCAGCCUGUGAAUUUCAUUAAACUUCAAGACAUCGCAAAAUGAUUUCAUCAGCUCUGUCUAUCACAGAGCACUGCUGCUAAUGAAUAAAUAUGAGCUAAUGAUUCCAUUUCUUCAGGCCAAAAACCAUGGAGUGUGGCUAAUUAACCUGCUCCCCUCUUCCUAAAGAACCUGUUUCUGCUGUCUUACAUUCCUUCAUCACUCACUUCAUUAUCUUUUCCGACUCUUUUUCUCCUUCCCAUCACUUCAUAACACCACCAUACUUCCCUCCCUUGCUCUUGGCACCCUCUCACUGGAUCUCCAACUCCAUCCCUCCUUCGA